CAGAGAGUCACAGUCACCCCAUGACCUCACAGUGUGCCUAGAAAUGCCCCGAGCACCCUGAGCAGCUGCAUUAAGCCAUAACCACACUGGUGUUUCUUCUGUCCAGGAGCACAGCAGCAUAGGUAGUGAAUCAACAACCUUUCUCAAAGAGGAAAAAAGAAAACUAGCAUGUAUGGCUAGAAAGUGGCUAGAUGGUGUCACAGAACUCAAGAAUGAGAAAGUUCUGAGAAUACAACCUCACACUGCACCUCCUGGUGAAGAAUGAGACCAUCUUGUUUGAAGGUAGUAGGAAGACUGUGACUUCUUGCUCAUAAUGUGGAAUUUACUCUUUCCUAAAAUCAAUCUCAAUUUGUUCCUUCCUGCUCUAAGGAUACAGGUGAAGGGCUGGCUUCUUUUUUUCACUCCAGUGUUACCCCACUGUCUGCAGUGGAAUUACACACAAUUGAUACUAGCUCAAGAAAGAAGAGAAUAAAGCCCUCCUCCUGAUCACAAA